rnacentral:rRNA from 1 species
AUUGAACGCUGGCGGCAUGCUUUACACAUGCAAGUCGAACGGUAACAGGCCUUCGGGUGCUGACGAGUGGCGAACGGGUGAGUAAUGCAUCGGAACGUACCCAGAGGUGGGGGAUAACGCAGCGAAAGCUGUGCUAAUACCGCAUGUGAUCUGAGGAUGAAAGCGGGGGACCGAGCAGCAAUGUUUGGCCUCGCGCCUUUGGAGCGGCCGAUGUCGGAUUAGCUAGUUGGUGGGGUAAAGGCCUACCAAGGCGACGAUCCGUAGCUGGUCUGAGAGGACGAGCAGACACAGGAGGAGGGAGAUGCGGACCAGGCGCGGACGGGAGGCAGCGGUGGGGGGUGUGGGGGAAUGGGCGCAGGGCGGAGUAAACCGUGCUGCGUGGGAAAAGAAGGGCUUCGGGUUGUAAGCCGCGUUGGUCAGGAAAGAAACAGAGUCCGCAACGACCGACUGCUUAUGAGGGGCCCUGCAGAAUAAGCACAGGCUAACUACGAG